CAACCUCCUCACUACCACAAGAUACUAACAGCACCAGUCUAGAUACGCUUCUGCUCCCAAGCUCAUGUCCACGCCUGGAUUAGAGAGAUUUAUGGAAGAUGGAUAUAUCACCAGCAACUAUUAGGCAUGAGAGCUAAACAGAACCUCCAUCUCCAAGGUCAGAUGUGUGGGAUGAACAACAGAGGAAGAAGGUCUCCUUUGAUGCAGAGAACCACAAAAAUCCUUGGACGUACAUCCCCCUUCAACUAUUAAAAAGAGAAAUGGAGAUGUACAGAUGGAAGCAGCAGCCAGUGACAAGAGACGUGAGGUCAAAUAUUCCAUUAACAGCUGCCAGAAAAGAUGCCAACAUCACUUAGUGUUAUAGAAAUUCACAGUGAAAUUGACAGGAUUCAACUAAUGGGUAUUAAGAUUAAAAAUUAGAAUGGGUAUUAGAAGCACGGUAAGGUACUGUCAAAUGAACUGGAAAAGAGGUGGAAUGGAAGUGCUGGACUUGAACGGCAUUAGCCUGAUGGAGAAGGGACACCUUGCAUAGUCUUGGAUUUUACACAGAUGCACACCCACUGUCAUGAUAGCAUGCUUUACUGUGAGAGCUGGAAUAUGGGAAAGGUGAUGAAAGCCAAUCACAGACCAUAUAAGCUUUAUCAGAAAGAAACUACAAAAGAACCACAUUCUGUUGAACCCCAUUCUCACAAGACUGGAGAUCCUUUGGAACAGGAAUCUGAAAAACCUUAGUUUGAACAUAUGUUCAGUAUUACCAACAUGGAGGAGAAAGA